AUGUCCCAGCCUCAAAUCCUCUGGGUGCAGGCAGCUGUUUGGCUAAAUUUAGCUUUUCAAAGUGGCAGAGUUGUGUCUGUAGUGACAGAGGUUUUUGUACGGCCACUGAAUGACUUUGUAUCACUGUGGUACACUUUUGGUGGAGGCACUAGACUGGAUGUUGGAAGUGAUGUCCGUCCCACCCUGACAGUCCUUCCCCCCUCCAGUGUGGAGCUGCAGCAGGGAAAGGCCACUCUCAUGUGUCUGGCUAACAAGGGCUUCCCCUCAGGCUGGAGUCUGAACUGGAAGGUAGAUGGAGUCAGCACCACCCGGGAGGUGACGGGGAGCCCCGGGGUCCUGGACAAGAAUGGCCUCUACAGCUGGAGCAGCACGCUGACCCUCCCUGUGGACCAGUGGAAGAAGGUGGGCUCUGUGACCUGUGAGGCCAACCAGGGCUCCCAGGCUCCUCUCUCUGAGACACUGAGGAGAGACCAGUGUUCUGAAUGAGCUCCUCCUCUGAAUCCUUCAUCCAGCUGCAUGGAGCUUAUAGCAUUUAUUUUCAUGGCCUUUUCAUGUCAUGUUUUAAUGUAUUUGCUUCUUGGCUUAUAUGUUGUAACAAUACAAUUGUAAAGGUGUUUGCAAUCAUAACUUCCUUGGACAACACUGUUGAAUAAAAUAGAAAUAAGAAUUCUUCA